rnacentral:lncRNA from 1 species
AGUGGCAGGUCCUCGUGUAAAGCUCGCUGUGUCGCCGCCGAGACGCGAGUCGUACGGUUCCUGGUGCCGCCAUUAUUGCCUUUUGCCACUGCCACCUUCGUCACUGCCGGUCUUGGUAGGUGGUCGUCGGCGCGCGCGCGGGAGGACGAAUUGGCCCCGUAACGCGGAGCCGAAACCAACAGGCGCGGGUGACUUUUUUUUGGCGACGCGGGUGAGGCGUAUCGGCGGCGACCUCACCUGGUCUCGUGCACUUGUCUUGGUCCUCAUUGCCUCGCGAGCUCAUGGCGUCGAGGCAGUGAGGAGAGAGUAAGGAGAAGGAGAAAGAGGAGGAGGAACGUGAGGGAGAAGAGGAGGAGCUAGAGGACGACGGUGAGGACGAAAACCGAAGACGCCAGUUCCGGCCAGACGCGGACGCCGGCGCUCUCUCGUGCCUCGAUCUCACUUCCGACGGGGAAAUGUGCGUGGGAUUCGCCUUUCUUCGUCUUUCCUUUCAUUUUUCUUCUUUUUAGAACAAUCUUGCGAGCUUGUUUUUGGCGGCCGCCAUCCCUGUUCUACUUCCUCGCCGACCGGAGUCUCGGGUCUGGUUCCGUGCCUCGCCAGAAGUGCCAUGAGUUAGCAUGUGCUUUCGCUCUCGAGUGUUGAUCGAUGUCAGUGGGACAGAAUCAAAGAAAAACAAACAGUAAAUGAUAAUAAUGAAAAUAAUGGAUGAUGGUAAUAAAUGAGAAAAUACUAAAAGAUAGAAAAGAUUAAGAGAAAGGGUUAUAAAAACCCAUGAGUUAGCGGUCGUGAAUACUUCCGGAUGAAAAGAAAAAAUACGUAAUAGAAUUCACUUCGCUUUGCUGACCCCGUCCCGUGCCAGCGACCGCCGCGGUGAAUGACUGAGCAGAAUCACACUCUCGGUCUAUUGAAUCCCCCUUACUUGUUUUUUUUUUCGUACUCGUUGAAGACCUUCCUUUUUUCUUUUCAAAUCCUCAAGUUGGUAAGUAGCAACACUCGGACAAAGACCGCCAGAGUCACUGCCACUGCCAUAACCGCAGAGUGCUCUCCUCCCCUCCCUUUCCCCUUUCCCUUCCCCCUCUCCCUCCUCCAGCUGCGUGACGGCGGCGGGAGAGAGAAACAAACAAAACCGGCGAUCAUAACCAACAGUUCCAGACACCGCUUCUAUUUUUUUCUCUCCUCCCCCCUCCCUCUCUCUCUCUCCACCCCUUUGGCUCUCCCCUCCCUCCCCCUACCUCUAGACCAUACACACACAAACCCUCCGCCCACCUCCCUCGUAGGGCACAGGGAGGGGAGGGGAGGGAGGGAGAGGGGAACAGGCUUUCACUCAGGUUGCUCUCGCGCGUGUGUGUGUGUGUGUGUAUGUGUGUGUGUGUGUGAGUGAGAGAGCGAGAUCGAGUGUCGAGAGUGUGAGUCCAGGGCCUCCGCAGCUACCAGGUCCCUCGACGACGUUCCUCAGCGGAGAUCUCGCCGACGAGCCGGAGAUCGGAGUGAAUCGAGAGAGCGAGAGAUUACAUAGAUAUAUAAGGGAUUCGAAACCUUUUGUCUUUUAGGUUCGGAUCCGAAGCGAGUGCCGAGCGAGAUAUGAAGCGGGAGAGAGAGAGAGAGAGAGGAGGAAGUUGGAAAUAAAGAGAAUAUAAUAAGGAAGGAGCCAAGAAAGUGAAGGUGAAGUUUGAUCGCUAAGUAGGGUGAUCCUGUGCCCGAAAGAUUGGAAAGUGAGUCGCAGUUGGGGAAAAAUAUUCCGUGCAAAGCCAGGAAGCGAAAAGAUAAAAUUUUAGGUGUGGUCGUGAGCUCUUAAUAGCGGUGCUUCAUACUCUCCUCGUUCGACUCUGCGAGUGUUUGUGAGACUUGGACGCGCGUUGAAACUGGUCCUCUUCAUCGUCGUCGUCGUCGUCGUCGUCUUGACAAGGAAAAAAAACAACAAAAAACAUAGAAACAACGACCCCAUCCGAGACGAAGGGACGAAUUAUUAAAAACAUCAACCUCAGUUGUUCCCUGUGGACGGAAUUCAAAUCUUUGAUACGACUGCCCCAUUUAAGAAGAAGUCCGUCGAGAGUGAGCUCCCCCUCGAGAACACCCCCCCCCCCUUACCUUCCUCAGUUAACCGACGCCCCUGACACAACGCCAGCAUCUACCGCGACUCCAGAAGGGCGUAGCAGAGGCGGCG